rnacentral:rRNA from 1 species
AACGAACGCUGGCGGCAGGCUUAACACAUGCAAGUCGAGCGCCCCGCAAGGGGAGCGGCAGACGGGUGAGUAACGCGUGGGAAUCUACCCAUCUCUACGGAAUAACGCAUGGAAACGUGUGCUAAUACCGUAUACGUCCUCGGGGGGAAAGAUUUAUCGGAGAUGGAUGAGCCCGCGUUGGAUUAGCUAGUUGGUGGGGUAAAGGCCUACCAAGGCGACGAUCCAUAGCUGGUCUGAGAGGAUGAUCAGCCACACUGGGACUGAGACACGGCCCAGACUCCUACGGGAGGCAGCACUGGGGAAUAUUGGACAAUGGGCGCAAGCCUGAUCCAGCCAUGCUGCGUGAGUGAUGAAGGCCCUAGGGUUGUAAAGCUCUUUCACCGGUGAAGAUAAUGACGGUAACCGGAGAAGAAGCCCCGGCUAACUUCGUGCCAGCAGCCGCAGUAAUAC